GAUGAACGCUAGCGGCAGGCCUAACACAUGCAAGUCGAGGGAAAAGCCCUUUCGGGGGCGGAAACCGGCGCACGGGUGCGUAACGCGUAUCCAACCUACCUUUCACAGGGGGAUAGCCGGAAGAAAUUUGGUUUAAUACCCCUUAAUAUUAUUGGAUGGCAUCAUUUGUUAAUAAAAACUGCGUUGGGGAAAGUUGGGCAUGCGUCCUAUUAGCUAGUUGGAGUGGUAACGGCACCCCAAGGCUACGAUAGGUAGGGGUCCUGAGAGGGAGAUCCCCCACACUGGUACUGAGACAGGGACCAGACUCCUACGGGAGGCAGCAGUGAGGAAUAUUGGUCAAUGGUCGGAAGACUGAACCAGCCAUGCCGCGUGCAGGAAGAAUGCCUUAUGGGUUGUAAACUGCUUUUAUAUGGGAAGAAUAAGGUGUACGUGUACAUUGAUGACGGUACCAUAUGAAUAAGCAUCGGCUAACUCCGUG
rnacentral:rRNA from 1 species